rnacentral:rRNA from 1 species
GACGAACGCUGGCGGCGUGCUUAACACAUGCAAGUCGAACGAUGAAGCCCAGCUUGCUGGGUGGAUUAGUGGCGAACGGGUGAGUAACACGUGGGCAACCUGCCCCAAACUCUGGGAUAACUCCUCGAAAGAGGUGCUAAUACCGGAUACGAACUAGACAGACAUCUGUACUAGUUGGAAAGUUUUUCGGUUUGGGAUGGGCCCGCGGCCUAUCAGCUGGUUGGUGAGGUAACGGCUCACCAAGGCUACGACGGGUAACCGGCCUGAGAGGGCGACCGGUCACACUGGGACUGGGACACGGCCCAGACUCCUACGGGAGGCAGAAGUGGGGAAUAUUGCGCAAUGGGCGAAAGCCUGACGCAGCGACGCCGCGUGAGGGAUGAAGGUCUUCGGAUCGUAAACCUCUUUCAGUAGGGACGAAGCGAAAGUGACGGUACCUAAAGAAGAAGCACCGGCUAACUACGUGCCAGCCGCCGCCGUAA